AGUACGCGCAGCGCCGGUCACGUGUCCCUUGUUUACCUUCGGUGUGCAGACCGCGCAUCUCAGCCCUUUCCUGUUCUGAGGGAGUAGCGCUGCUGCCGCGGGCUGUGAGCGGGCGGGCAGCUUCCCUGGGAGGAGGGGAAGCACUCAGCAGUGAGGGAAGGCUUACAAUGUCACUGCCAACAAAGAGGUGCGGAAGACCCCCAGUGUUGUCUUUCUUGGAAAAGAAAAAGAGAAAACAAAGUCUUGAUAGGAGGAGAGGAAAAACCAGGAUUUAUGUGGGAAAUCAUAUUGACCGAUGGCUGACACUGAAGGAAAAACUGGAUUUCAGGAACGAUGCAGAAGUUGCUGGAUUUUUAUUGGACUUGUAUGACAGCUAUGACCCGCUGACAAAAGCUCCCAUCUGUUCCCUCCCUGGGGGUGUGAGAAGAAUUUCUGUGAAAGAAGAAAGAGCACUUUCAGGCAGCGCUUGCUUAAUAGCAGCUGAUGGAACGUAUGAUGAUGGUGACCGGCUGUCUGAAGAGGCUGCCUGCUCUGAAUAUGGAGACUACAGAAUUGUCACUGUGAAGGAAGAGCGAGAGACUCCACCUCAUUGCUCAUCAGUGAAGACAGAUAACACUGAUAACGCAUACGAAGUGAUGCAUAAACCUACUUAGAAGUAGUGCCGUGCUCAAGGAGGCAACCACGCCAUCAGUCGACUGCUGAUGUCUUUUACUGCAGUGUCAUCAGUAACUGAGGCAUUCACAGUUGAGAGAUCAGAGGAGCCUCGAAUAGGGGGACACUGAGAACCUAGGACAGUGCAUUGGCAUUGCAUGGUGUGUCCAAACCCUUCGCUAACAUAAAUAGGUGAAUGUGUUGGGCUUCUGGAAGUAAUGCCCUGGCUCAGAAGAAUGACUGGAAGCUGAAUCAGGAGAAAACAAAUACCAGUGCUGGAGAAGCUGAAAAUUUCAAGUGCAUUCUUCAAAACAGCACUUUUCAAGGAUAAUAUUGUUUUAGGUUGGAGUGCUACAAUACUUUAAUUCCUGGGACUGACUUUCUACAGGGUAACCAGCAAGAAGAAAAUCAAGCACUUGAAUAAUGACCUUGGGGCAGUUCUUGGUCCUUUUUGGUUUUGCUGUGAGGGUUUUGUGAGUUAUAAAGAAUGACUGUAAGUUCUAGUAUGAAAUCCCAUGUAUAUUGUUGAACAACUAAUUAAACUUCAAUUACCUAAAGUUCUGUUGUGUUACCUUGAUAUUAAUAAAGCGUGUGGAGUGGAUUUAC